GGCUACUACAGAGCCAGGACUGGAACCAAAUCUUACAAUUUACACAUGUGCCCUUAUGAACAGGCACUUGUUCAUAACACCUUGCAGGACUAUCUCAGGCCAUUGGAGACUACAGUGCCAAGGUGGAAGGUGGGGCCAGCCUGUGCCUUGUUUCCUGACAGCAAUCCAGGCCUGUGACAAGUCUUCAUCUCAAGGUUGCCUGCCCAGAAUGAUGGCCCAGGGCUUGCAGAAUGGCAGCAAACAGUUGCAAAAAGGAGGAACCCAGCAAGGGUAGGAGAGGCCCUUUCCCCCCGGCCUGGCUCACACCUGGGCCUGAGUUCCCCAGGGGUGGAUGGCUGGAGGCACUUCCCCAGGUCAUGCCACUGGCUUACAGGGAGUUGUGAUGGGUGGGGAAGUGGGGUGGGAGGUGAUUGGUGAGAGGUUUCCCUGCUUCUCAGACUCUUGCCCUGCUCCUCCCUACAGCUGCUCAGGCCCAGUGCACAGUCCUUCAGCGGGGCACAAGGUUCCCUUCUCCACCUAUAUCAGUCUCCAGGACCCAGGUCAAAUGUCUACUUUGCCUCCCUUCCUCCAUCCUAAUCUUGGGCCCUGUACUGCAAGGCUUCCCUCAGGAAGCUCACAAACUGAUUGAGGACGUGGACAGCUAAAAACAGCCACAGAAGGCAGUGAUGAAGACCAAGAUGGAGGGUGAUGCCCAAGGCUUUAGGGAUCAGGAGAGAAUGACAGAGUAAUGCCCGGAUUGAGUCCUAAGGGAAGGGGUGUUAAGAUGACUCUUUCACGCAGAGAGACCAGCAUAUGUGAUUGAGACAUGAGGGGAAAGAAAGUCUGGCCCAUUGAGUCAGCUGUACGCUAUUCAGUGCACAGGGGUUGUUACGUCUCCCAAAGACUCAUCUAUUGAGGGCUUGAUCCCUAAUGCAGCAAUGUUCAGAGAUGGGGUCUAGAGAAGUGACUGGAUCAGAAGGUUCUAACUUCACCGGUGGAUUCAUUGAUGGAUUCAUAAUUUGAUGGUACUGUUGGGAAGUGAUGGAAACAGGAGGUGGGGCCUAGUUGAAGGGAGCAGAUCAUAAGGGCGUGAGCUUGGGAACUGUAUCUGGUCCCUAGCCAUUUUCUCUCUGGCUCUUUCCCUCCUUCUCUGCUUCCUGGCUAACAUGAGGUGAGCAGCUUUCCCCUGCCAUGCCCUUCUGCCUUACUAUGGCUUAAAAGUAAUAGAGCCAGUUGACCACAAACUGAAACCUCU